GGCGGUUCUGCCCAGUGGUGUCUCUGAGCGCGGGAUGACAGGAGCAACCGAAGCACCCUGAAGGCCUUCACUCCUUGUUGGGUAACUCAGCCAUGGAGAUGCCAAGCACUAGCCAGGAGCUUCUGUCUGUGGAGUUGGGCGGCCCCUACCACUGCACAUGCUUACAGCCAGGCGAUGUGACUUUCCAUGGAGAGGACCCCCAAGCCCAGCCAUCUUGCUUACUUACUAUAUGUGGGCAGUCACGAGCAUCAAUCAGCACCUGAUAGUAAGUGGAUGAUGUGAGAUUGAGGGAAAGACUCCAGCUGAACAUCAAGAAAUCAAGAAGACUUGUCCCCCAAAUGCCCUCUGGGAUACUCAUAAUGAAAAUUAGGAAUGGCUUAGGAAAGCAUUCUGAGGAGGCCUAAAGGGACUCUCUGACUUAGACUAUCCCUGGCACUCAGCACUUUUGUCUCCAUGGGUCUUAGUCCCAGAGAAGUACUCUGGGGAUGUUUCCAAGGCCUAGGAGGACGCUGUCUUCACCCCUAGUACCCCAAUUACAUAUGUCUGCCAUCUCCUCCUGAGGAUACUGUGAGGCACAACCACAGGGAAACUUACUUUUCUGGAGCUGCAGAAGCCACAUCCCGGUCAUACAGUCUGGCCUGCCAGGGAAACAGGACGACACCUCGGUAGCCAAAAAUGCUAUGAAGGAAAAGCUGGAAGGAAAGAGGGGCCUCAGUGAGUCUGCAGUCCAGCAAAUCCAUCCAGGUGGGCCCCAGACCACAAAGCAACACAGGUGGAGGCAACUCCAGCACAAGGUCUUGCUACCUCUUCCCUUGAAGUCUGUGAUCAACCAGACCAAUGCUGGAACACUCUUAUUUCUUCUUUACCUGGCUGACUCUACUCAUCCUUUAGGUAAAAGCUUAGGCCUCCAGGAAGCCUUCCCUGACCUCCCUUCCACUUAGCACAAUGUACAGCUAUUGGCCAUUUGCAAAUCGUUCUUUUCUAGACUAGAAACUCCACAAUAGCAGGAAUCAUGUCUACUUUGCUUUCUGAUUUAACCCUAAUGCACAAUGCCUAGUCCAUUGUAGGCACACAGAAAAAUAAAAUGUUGAACAAAC
rnacentral:lncRNA from 10 species